rnacentral:rRNA from 1 species
UACAGAGGGUGCGAGCGCUAAUCGGAAUUACUGGGCGUAAAGCGUGCGUAGACGGCUAUCUAAGUCGGGUGUGAAAGCCCCGGGCUCAACCUGGGAAUUGCAUUCGAGACUGAAUAGCUAGGGUACGGUAGAGGGAAGCGGAAUUUCCGGUGUAGCGGUGAAAUGCGUAGAUAUCGGAAGGAACAUCAGUGGCGAAAGCGGCUUCCUGGACCAGUACCGACGUUCAGGCACGAAAGCGUGGGGAGCAAACAGG